rnacentral:sRNA from 2 species
UGUAUCUGAAGCCUGAAGAGGAUGAGAACCUCCGGGGGCAAGAGGUUCGACUCGAGCGCAGCGAGAGAACGUUGCGUCAGCAACGGCCCGCAGGGCGAGCCACGCAGUGGCGAGUCAUCCUCUAUCACCGACCA